rnacentral:lncRNA from 1 species
CGGAGCGUCGGUGGCCAUGGGAGAUUGGAGAAAACGAUCAAUUCUUUAUCAGUGAAAGGGCUUAUGGCCAUAAAAAGGAAUUCAUAUGUAUAGAUUUGGUAUUGAAUAAACAGGGAGCAUGGUCGCGAAGGAGAAAGAUGGUGGAAGAUUCAAAGGCAAAAACUAGGGUUCUAGAAAUUUGGGGGUUUUUGCAAUUUGCAGUAACCGACUGUAAGAGAGAAACAAAGAGAGGGGCAGCCGGUGGGAG